rnacentral:rRNA from 1 species
UGGGGAAUCUUGCGCAAUGCGCGAAAGCGUGACGCAGCAACGCCGCGUGGGGGAAGAAGGCCUUCGGGUUGUAAACCCCUUUCAGUUGGGACGCGGUACCUUCAGAAGAAGCCCCGGCUGGAGUGACGGUACUUCACAAGAAGCACCGGCUAACUAC